AUGGUCUCCUCAUGCCACCUUCUCUGGCUGCUGGUGCUGUGGGCUCAGGAUUCCCGAGGAGCCAUUGUGCUGAGCCAAUCUCCAGCUUCUCUGUCCAGAUCUCCAGGAGAGACAGUCACCAUCAGCUGCAGGGCCAGUGAGAGCCUUUCUAAAAGUAUCUUCGGAACUACGUUUCAGUUCUUACACUGGUACCAGCAGAAGCCUGGCCAAGCCCCCAGGCUCCUCAUCUAUGCUGCUACCAGUCUGGCAUCCGGGGUGCCUGCCCGCUUCAGUGGCAGGGGGUCAGGGACAGAUUUUACUCUCACCAUCAGCAACCUGGAGCCUGAAGAUGCUGCAGAUUAUUACUGUCAGCAGUCUAAGAGCUUCCCUCUCCCACAGUGA